ensembl:Y_RNA Y_RNA Y RNA
AGCUGGUCUGAAGCUAGUGAGUUAUCUCAAUUAACUGACUGUUAAGUCAGUUACAGAUCGAAACCCUUGUUUGUUAUUUCCCCACUUCUCACUACUGCACUUGACUAGUCUUAA